UACGAGAGGCCCAAACGUUAUUCGGAUUUACUGGGCUUAAAGAGUUCGUAGGCGGCGCAGAAAGUAGGGUGUGAAAGCCCUCGGCUCAACCGAGGAAUUGCGCCCUAAACUACUGUGCUUGAGGAACCUAGAGGUGAGCAGAACAGAUGGUGGAGCGGUGAAAUGCGUUGAUAUCAUCUGGAAUACCGGAGGCGAAGGCGGCUCACUGGGGGUCUUCUGACGCUGAGGAACGAAAGCCAGGGGAGCGAACGGG
rnacentral:rRNA from 1 species